UUUGGAACUUGACUGGAGUGUCAUCUUGUGGAGAACACGUCCACUUUGAUGGAGUCACUCUGCACUUCAUGAGCACCAGCGAGCGGGAACAAUUUCUGCAAAUAGCAGAAAGUUCAUGGCAAGCUUGCAACCUUUGCCUCCUGAUGGUUACAAGUGUGCUGAACAAGCAGGAGGUUUCAUGUUGUGUUUUUCUGGUGCAAUCCAUGACCGAGAGACUCAAGUUGGUAUCAUGCCGACCGUCAUCGAGGGAAGCAUCUCAGUUGUCUUCGGUACACAUUGAGGGGAAAUGAUGGAGCAUGAGGCACGAAGGUUCCACGGUCUAGCACAAAUCGAAGAAGAAUUGAUUGAGCCUCGACAUAGCCCUACAUACAUUUUCCUGAGUCUCGAACUUAUUUUGGAAAGUUUUAAUACUGAAAUAAAAUGUUCCAAAUGCCCCUAUCAAGAAAGUCAAGGAGAAGUUUGGAUGGUUUGGCGUUGUUUUGACAUUUCACUAAAUAACACAAAAAAAAAAAACGCAUCGCUUAUUUGCAACUCGGUUUGCAGGAAACGUGAAUGACGUCAUGCUCGGGUCUAAGAUAAGAU